CAUGAAGUCGGAAUCGCUAGUAAUCGCGGAUCAGCACGCCGCGGUGAAUACGUUCCCGGGCCUUGUACACACCGCCCGUCACACCAUGGGAGUUGGGAGCACCCGAAGCCGGUGAGUUGACCGCAAGGGGACAGCCGUCGAAGGUGAGACUGAUGACUGGGGUGAAGUCGUAACAAGGUAUC
rnacentral:rRNA from 1 species